rnacentral:rRNA from 1 species
AAUGAACGCUGGCGGCGUGUCUUAAGCAUGCAAGUCGUGCGGCAAGGGUAGCAAUACCCCUAGAGCGGCGGACUGGUGAGUAACGCGUGGGUGAUCUGCCCUUGGGUUGGGGAUAGCCAUUAGAAAUAGUGGGUAAUACCGAAUACGAUGGCGAGAUUGUGGCCUUGUCAUGAAAGGCGCUUCGGCGCCACCCGAGGAUGAGCCCGCGGCCCAUUAGCUAGUUGGUGAGGUAACGGCCCACCAAGGCGAUGAUGGGUAGGCGGCCUGAGAGGGUGUACGCCCACACUGGGACUGAGCUACGGCCCAGACUCCUACGGGAGGCAGCAGCUAAGAAUAGUCCGCAAUGGACUAAAGUCUGACGGAGCGACGCCGCGUGGAUGACGAAGGCCGAAAGGUUGUAAAAUCCUUUUGUUGGGGAAGAAUAAGGCUGGGAGGGAAUGCCCGGCUGAUGACAUGAACCGACGAAUAAGUCCCGGCUAACUACGUGCCAGCCGCCGCCGUAA